UUUUCUUUCACCACGACAGACACUGUCCUUGUGGAAUGCAUUGACCCCAGUUUCACAACCGUUUGCCAGCAGUGGGACCAGCCUCGUUUCUCCAUCCGUCUCUAGGACAACUGCCCGUCUAGCUCUCCGGCAGUCCUCAUCACGCCUUGAAGCUUCCAUGUUCUCAUCUUGUGAGGUUGAUGUGUCUGCCACCCUACCUUUUCAUGAGGAGUUAGCAUCUUCCUAGCCUCAACUCAGAAUUGCUGACCUUUGCCUCUCCUGGGAUUAGUCCUUUUUAAAAAUCGCCCUACUGGACGCCUGUUCUACAUACACAAAGCAACUGAGGUGUACUUCAGACUGCGGCUUAGCAACCAUCUAGCAAGUGACUGGGAAUUGAGGUGUUUGAAGUUUUGCUCACAAUGGUAGAGUGAAAACCAGCAGCACCCUGUUACUGAAAAAGCAGCUCUGAAAUGCUGGCACUAAGGCCAAGCCAGUCAAGUUUCCAUCACAGACGAGGAGGAACUCAUGAAGCCUCACCCACAGCUGAUGAGUCAGGAGAGGCAGUUACCUUCAGGGAACGGACCUUGGUAGCUUGUCCAUCCUCCAGUGAAUGGGUCUGCAUCCCUGCACAGGCGGACAACUCCAGUGCAUGGAUCUGCACCCAUGCACAUAUGGACAGUGCUGAAUGGACUCUGAACUAGAAGAGGACGUGAAGUUUGGAAAACAUAGCAGGGGAAGGAAGUCAUCUGGGAAGAUUCCAAAAGCAAAGGGGAGGUUGGUAAGAUAAAAAUGCAUCAUACACAUGUAUAAAAAUCUCAAAGAAUUGGUUGUUUUGGGUUUGGGCGUGCUUGUGUUUGUUUUGUUGUUUUAUUUUGUUUUUGUCCCAGGCUGUCCUUGAACUCACAAAGAUUCAUCUGCCUCCGCUUCCAGAUUGCUGACUGCUGGGAUUAAAGGUGUGUGCCAUUACAC